CCUACGGGAGGCAGCAGUGAGGAAUAUUGGUCAAUGGACGAGAGUCUGAACCAGCCAAGUAGCGUGAAGGAUGACUGCCCUAGGGGUUGUAAACUUCUUUUAUAAAGGAAUAAAACGAGGCACGUGUGCCUUUUUGCAUGUACUUUAUGAUUAAGGAUCGGCUAACUCCGUGCCAGCAGCCGCGGUAAUACGGAGGGUCCGAGCGUUAUCCGGAUUUAGUGGGUUUAAAGGGAGCGUAGAUGGGUUGUUAAGUCCGUUGUGAAAGUUUGCGGCUCAACCGUAAAAUUGCAAUGGAUACUGGCAGUCUUGAGUACAGUUGAGGUAGGCGGAAUUCGUGGUGUAGCGGUGAAAUGCUUAGAUAUCACGAAGAACCCCGAUUGCGAAGGCAGCUUACUAAACUGUGACUGACAUUGAUGCUCGAAAGUGUGGGUAUCAAACAGGAUUAGAUACCCCUGUAGUC
rnacentral:rRNA from 1 species